AUUUCAACUGAACUGCUUGAACCGGUACUUUGACUGGUUUCUAGGCAAUGGUGCUACCUGUAAAAUGUUACAAAAUUAAGAGUUUAAUUUAACAUAAUGGAGGAACCUCUGCUUCAACAUGCCAGUACACAAUUUGUUGGAGACCUGUUUUGCAUAGGUUCUCAGCUGCAACAUUACAAAAAUGAAUGCCUUUAUUGGUCUUUAAAAAUAGAUGGAAAGAAAACAUGGAUUUACACACAGUAACAGAAGUUUGGGAUGUAAAAGUAAGUUACACCAUGGCAGUAGUUUUCUUCUGAGUUUUUGGACAAAGGGAGAGUUGAUCCACUUCUGUGGUCUGUGGAGGCAAAACUGACUUGGCUGCAUUUCCUUGGACCAUCACAGGAUAUAAAGACUCCUGUACACAAGGACUGUUAAACAUCCUACCCAUGAUGGAUAUCGGUAAAUGUUGGACUUCGUCUUGCCCAUUUAACCAACACAGCUCCAUAUUUCAUCACCUGAAGUUGGAAGAAACACUCAUGCAAUCAUUUGCUGUCUUGCUGUGAUUAUAUUUAAUUAAUAAUGGUUUCAUUUUAGAAUCUCUGGAUGAUUGUUCAGCGAAAAAGUAGUGAAGAGAGAAAUAAUUGAUCAGAUAAUGUUUUUAAAACCAUGCAGUAAAUUGUCUUUAAAAUGAGCUAUUUGACUUCUUAUUUUGUGAAACCUGACAGAUCUUUAUAAGAAAUUAAGGAAUAAAAUGAAGUCUGUUAAAAACUUGAAA